rnacentral:rRNA from 1 species
AGUAACGCGUGGGUAACCUGCCUCAUACAGGGGGAUAACAGUUGGAAACGACUGCUAAUACCGCAUAAGCGCACAGGAUUGCAUGAUCCAGUGUGAAAAACUCCGGUGGUAUGAGAUGGACCCGCGUCUGAUUAGCCAGUUGGCGGGGUAACGGCCCACCAAAGCGACGAUCAGUAGCCGACCUGAGAGGGUGACCGGCCACAUUGGGACUGAGACACGGCCCAA